rnacentral:rRNA from 1 species
AUGGAAGCAGAACUCACAGCAUUAGACACUGCCACUGUUGAAGCAGAGUGGCUUCGUGAACUCUUGAUGGACUUACCUAUGGUUGAAAAACCAAUACCCCCUAUCCUGAUGAACUGUGAUAAUCAAACUGUGAUCAUCAAGAUAAACAGCUCUAAGGACAAUAUGAAGUCCUCAAGGCAUGUGAAGAGGAGAUUAAAAUCUGUCAGAAAAUUGAGGAACUCCGGAGUUAUUACGUUGGAUUAUAUCCAAACAUCGAAAAACUUGGCAUAUCCCUUCACAAAGGGUCUAUCACGUAAUGUGAUAGAUAAUGCAUCGAUGGAGAUGGGUUUGAGACCCACCGCAUGA